rnacentral:rRNA from 1 species
UACGAAGGGGGCUAGCGUUGUUCGGAAUUACUGGGCGUAAAGCGCACGUAGGCGGGUUGUUAAGUCAGGGGUGAAAUCCCGGAGCUCAACUCCGGAACUGCCUUUGAUACUGGCAAUCUAGAGACUGGAAGAGGUUAGUGGAAUUCCCAGUGUAGAGGUGAAAUUCGUAGAUAUUGGGAAGAACACCAGUGGCGAAGGCGGCUAACUGGUCCAGUACUGACGCUGAGGUGCAAAAGCGUGGGGAGCAAACAGG